CCUCUAUUUUCUAGGCCUUAAUCCACUCGUUACGAAUAGGCUACUCUAUAUUAGUGAUUGGAAGUUUUAAAGGGAUGGAUAUAAGUUAAUCUUAAUAUAUGUACCGAAAGCAACGUUAAAACAUUGCAGUUAAAAAAUUGUUGGAUUACCUUAGCUGUACUAAAGAUAGAAAACGUAAUUAAUGACUCAUAACUUAUUACUU